AUACGGAGGAUCAAAGCGUUAUCCGGAAUCAUUGGGUUUAAAGGGUCCGGAGGCGGGUUUGUAAGUCAGGGGUGAAAGUUUUCGGCUCAACCGGAAAAUUGCCAUUGAUACUGCAAGUCUUGAAUCAUUAUGAAGUGGUUAGAAUGUGUAGUGUAGCGGUGAAAUGCAUAGAUAUUACACAGAAUACCGAUUGCGAAGGCAGAUCACUAAUAAUGUAUUGACGCUAAGGGACGAAAGCGAGGGUAGCGAACAGGAUUAGAUACCCGAGUAGUCC
rnacentral:rRNA from 1 species